rnacentral:rRNA from 1 species
GAUGAACGCUGGCGGCGCGCCUAACACAUGCAAGUCGAACGAUUAAAGCACCUUCGGGUGUGUAUAAAGUGGCGAACGGCUGAGUAACACGUGGGCAACCUGCCCCUCUCAUUGGGAUAGCCACGGGAAACCGUGGAUAAUACCGAAUACUUCGAGUCUCCCGCAUGGAAGACUCGAGAAAGCUCCGGCGGAGAGGGAUGGGCCCGCGGCCUGUUAGCUUGUUGGUGGGGUAACGGCCUACCAAGGCAAUGAUGGGUAGCUGGGUUGAGAGACCGACCGGCCAGAUUGGGACUGAGACACGGCCCAGACUCCUACGGGAGGCAGCAGCGGGGAAUCUUGCACAAUGGGCGAAAGCCUGAUGCAGCGACGCCGCGUGCGGGAUGAAGGCCUUCGGGUUGUAAACCGCUUUCAGCAGGGACGAGGCGAAAGUGACGGUACCUGCAGAAGAAGCCCCGGCUAACUACGUGCCAGCAGCCGCGGUAAUACGUAGGGGGCAAGCGUUAUCCGGAUUCAUUGGGCGUAAAGCGCUCGUAGGCGGUCUGUUAGGUCGGGAGUUAAAUCCGGGGGCUCAACCCCCGUUCGCUCCCGAUACCGGCAGACUUGAGUUUGGUAGGGGAAGGUGGAAUUCCUAGUGUAGCGGUGGAAUGCGCAGAUAUUAGGAAGAACACCAGUGGCGAAGGCGGCCUUCUGGGCCAUAACUGACGCUGAGGAGCGAAAGCUAGGGGAGCAAACAGG